AGGUUGCCUCAUUGUUUUGGUGAAAAUUGAGUUCGUUGGGAAAUGUUAUUAGCGCUUAAUUGACUCCUAUCACGCAAAAAUUAAUUGUCAGUUUGCAUUUGAAGUAAUAUUCUUGCGAGACCACGAAAGCAGAGAUAAUGGCGACUACUUUGGUCUAGGGACAACCUAGAAAACAACACUUUUUAUUCUGAAAUGAACUCUCAAGCCGUAAAGUACGGCAUCCUUUAUCCAGCAGAGGAGGGUGAGAGUGAGCACAGAAAUUUCGUUGCCUCUUGGUCUGAUGAUCCGUCAGCUCCUUUUAUUUAUUAGCAGUGAUGGAGCCACCUCCCUGCAACCCCGGGCAGCACCUGGGCUCAUCUGGCAAGCAUCCGUUUAGAGCAGUGUUAUUCCUAGCGUUUAAUGACAACGGUUGUUUCGGCAAACUUUCACUAGCGCAUCAGCAGUUAAGGUCUGCCCCGGCUUCCAUGACUGGCACGCUACGCCACUGAGGUGAGUGAAACUUGGAUCCCAUGUUCUACAUUCGAAUUAUUUCAUGUUGCUCAGAGUAAUCUUACAUGACAGUGCAUUGCUGCUUAACUAAUGCACUAUGAAUUGUGUGUGUUGAUGUGCGGUCACUUUUAUCUAUUGGAAUUUUGAUUCCACUAAGGACUGCAGGUGAGUGAAACUUUGAUGUCACUAACCCUAACAUUUUGUUUGCAGACAUUUGUAUGUACUAACUAUAACUAAGCUAGGUCUAUUUAAUUUUGUAGGGGGCAUAAUUUAUUUCAAAAGUUAACGAGACAUUGAUGGAUUUGUAAUCUUAUUCUUAGGUUUAUCUACAAUGAGGAAAAGAUAAACAAAUCGUCUUUCCUCCUUCUCCCAUUCUGAGAAAGUUAUGAAAAUUGAUGCAAUUGUAUAAUAUCUACUCUUCACUAUUUUGGGGCGAAUAUGCAAUAAAAACUCUCAGUUACUCAUACCAUAGUACUAUUUUCAUUUUUAGAUGAAUACUGAUAUGCCCAACUGUGUUCUGAUAGAUAUUUGCAGAAUUCACCGAAGCAGAGAGUUGGAGUAAAAAUGAUGGUUAAAAGUUAACGAGACAUUGAUGGAUUUGUAAUCUUAUUCUUAGGUUUAUCUACAAUGAGGAAAAGAUAAAAAAAUCGUCUUUCCUCCUCCCAUUCUGAGAAAGUUAUGAAAAAUGAUGCAAUUGUAUAAUAUCUACUCUUCACUAUUUUGGGGCGAAUAUGCAAUAAAAACUCUCUGUUACUCAUACCAUAGUACUAUUUUCCUUUUUAGAUGAAUACUGAUAUGCCCAACUGUGUUCUGAUAGAUAUUUGCAGAAUUCACCGAAGCAGAGUCGGAGUAAAAAUGAUGGUUGUUGAAUGUACUGAUUGACCUUGAAGCUCUGUGGAGCACCGCCAACCCCUAAUGUUUUUUUUGGGUAAGGCUACUAAGCUUUCAUGUUUGUAAAUAACAAAUGUUGUAAUGUACUAAUUAACUUCAUGUCUAAAUUUAUCAUGUAUAUAAGAGAGAGAAAAAACCAGGCGAGUGACAUUUUUCACUAAGUUUCAGAAUAUAGCCACUGUUGGCAACAAUGUAGUAUUUUUAUAGAUUGAAGUUCAGCUAGAUGUCCAAUUGGUCCUUAAUUUACAUUCCCUAUCCUCCAUCUGUUAGCAAGUACUUGGUAUUUAUAGCCUUUCACUUUGCUCAGAUCGUAUGCUCUUCUUCACUGUAGUGGGAGAAAUGCAAUUCUUAGGUAAACUGCGAUGCUGAAUACAUUGUUAUUAGUCAUCAAUAAAUAUACCAAGAUAUGCAUUUUUUGUAUCAUUUCAUUAUCAUUGCAAUGACACUGUCAGAUCCAUCCUUCCCCGCACACUUGCAGAGACAUCUUCCAAGUACAUACACCAUUUCAAUGUCCAAACUCAUAUUUUUUGCGUUUAUUUUGCUAAAAUCUUCUUGAUUCUGAGCACUGGUACUAGAAAGCAUAAUCCAGUUUAGUGUAAGUUUCUACUAUUUCGAAGUAAUUUAAUCCCAUGAAUUCGAGUAAUGUGGAUAUCAUGCUGAUGUUACCACAUAAUUCCCAGUUUAGCACAGGAGGUAACCUGACUUGUUGUUCUCAUUUUUGUGUGCACAAAGAAUCACGUUGCAGAUUAGGAAGUCUCGCUCUUAUUUACGGCAGCGGUGAUAGCAUAGAACUUCUCUGCGAAACCUGAGCAAACUUCCCUUAGUUUGUGCCUCUUGGUUUUCCUAAUUCUGUUUUGUUCUUUCUGACUUAUAACUGAACUAGAGGACUUGAAUUGGUCAGAGGCAGAGCAUGAAGGUGAUGAUACAGAAGUUGCACGGCCAAUAAGUUCCAACCUACAUCUGCAGUGGGACCUUCCAAUCUUCAAUAUAGAUCUUCUUUCAAGUGA